rnacentral:rRNA from 1 species
CCUACGGGAGACUGCAGUGAGGAAUAUUGGUCAAUGGCCGCAGGUCUGAACCAGCCAAGUCGCGUGAGGGAUGACGGUCCUAUGGAUUGUAAACCUCUUUUGUCAGGGAGCAAAGGGCGCCACGUGUGGCGUUUUGCGCGUACCUUAAGAACAAGCAUCGGCUAACUCCGUGCCAGCAGCCGCGGUAAUACGGGGGAUGCGAGCGUUAUCCGGAUUUAUUGGGUUAAAGGGGUGCGCAGGCGGAAUGUCAAGUCAGCGGUAAAAUUUCGGGGCUCAACCCCGUCGUGCCGUUGAAACUGGAGGUCUGGAGUGAGCGAGAAGUAAGCGGAAUGCGUGGUGUAGCGGUGAAAUGCAUAGAUAUCACGCAGAACUCCGAAUGCGAAGGCAGCAUACCGGAGCGCAACUGACGCUCAUGCACGAAAGCGUGGGUAUCGAACAGGAUUAGAUACCCGGGUAGUC